rnacentral:rRNA from 1 species
CUCGUAGGCGGCUCAGCAAGUCGAUCGUGAAAACCCGGGGCUCAACCCCGGGACGCCGGUCGAUACUGCUGUGGCUAGGGUCUGGUAGAGGAGAAUGGAAUUCCCGGUGUAGCGGUGAAAUGCGCAGAUAUCGGGAGGAACACCAGUAGCGAAGGCGGUUCUCUGGGCCGGUACCGACGCUGAGGAGCGAAAGCGUGGGGAGCAAACA